CAGCGUCCAGGGGAGGUGGACCAAGCCCGGACCGGGGCUGUCAAGAACAAUCUGCACCUAGAGCCGCCAGCGAGGAUCCCCCAGUCGCCUCCAGAGUCCGCGGGAAUGAGCGUGGCGGUCGUAGACGUGGUUCCGUAGGCUCCACCAGGGAAGAUGAGGAGUUCGGGGUUCCGAGCAUAGAUAACCUGCUCCUCAUCCAACUGGUGGAGGCGCGUCCAGCACUAUGGGACCACUCCGAC